CCAGACUCCUACGGGAGGCAGCAGUGGGGAAUAUUGCACAAUGGGCCCAAGCCUGAUGCAGCCAUGCCGCGUGUAUGAAGAAGGCCUUCGGGUCGUAAAGUACUUUCAGUCGGGAGGAAGGUGGUAAGGUUAAUAACCUUAUCAAUUGACGUUACCGACAGAAGAAGCACCGGCUAACUCCGUGCCGGCAGCCGCGGUAAUACGGAGGGUGCAAGCGUUAAUCGGAAUUACUGGGCGUAAAGCGCACGCAGGCGGUCUGUCACGCCGGAUGUGAAAUCCCCGGGCUCAACCUGGGAACUGCAUUCGAAACUGGCAGGCUGGAGUCUUGUAGAGGGGGGUAGAAUUCCAGGUGUAGCGGUGAAAUGCGUAGAGAUCUGGAGGAAUACCGGUGGCGAAGGCGGCCCCCUGGACAAAGACUGACGCUCAGGUGCGAAAGCGUGGGGAGCAAACAGGAUUAGAUACCCCAGUAGU
rnacentral:rRNA from 1 species